AUGCAAGUCGGAUGCGAUCAUCAACGUCGGUUGGUUAGUAGCAUGGCAGACGGGUGAGGAGCACGUACCUGACCUGACACACGGAGGGGGAUAGUCCCCCGAAAGGGGGUUGAAUACCGCGUACGCUCGUCAAGGCAGCUUGAUGAGGAGAGGUGGCCUCUGCAUGCACGCUAUCGCCGUGUGAGGGGGGUGCGUCCUAUUAGCUGGCUGGUGGGGUAAUGGCCUACCAGGGCGACGAUGGGUCGCUGGUCUGAGAGGAUGAUCAGCCACACUGGGACUGAGACACGGCCCAGACUCCUACGGGAGGCAGCAGUGGGGAAUUUUGCGCAAUGGGGGGAACCCUGACGCAGCAACGCCGUGUGAGUGACGACGCCGUUCGCGGUGUAAAGCUCUGUGAGGCGGGACGAAGGCUCCGGGUGAAGAACCUGCGAGGGUGACGGUACCGCCACAGCAAGCCCCGGCUAACUCCGUGCCAGCAGCCGCGGUAAGACGGAGGGGGCGAGCGUUGUUCGGAAUUACUGGGCGUAAAGCGCCCGCAGGCGGUGACGUGAGUGUUUCGUGAAAGCCCCCGGCUCAACCGGGGACGGGCGAAGCAGACUGCGUGACUUGAGUGCUGGAGGGGGAGGCGGAAUUCCUGGUGGAGCGGUGAAAUGCGUAGAGAUCAGGAAGAACGUCAGUGGCGAAGGCGGCCUCCUGGACAGACACUGACGCUGAGGGGCGAGAGCGAGGGGAGCGAACGGGAUUAGAUACCCCGGUAGUCCACGCCGUAAACGCUGGGCACUAGGUGUGGGGGUGGAGAUCACUUCCGUGCCGGAGCUAACGCAGUAAGUGCCCCGCCUGGGGAGUACGGUCGCAACGCUUGAAACUCAAAGGUAUUGACGGGGGCCCGCACAAGCGGUGGAGCAUGUGGUUUAAUUCGACGCUACGCGCAGAAC
rnacentral:rRNA from 1 species